rnacentral:rRNA from 1 species
AGUGAACGCUGGCGGUAGGCCUAACACAUGCCAGUCGAACGGCAGCACAGUAAGAGCUUGCUCUUACGGGUGGCGAGUGGCGGACGGGUGAGGAAUACAUCGGAAUCUACUUUUUCGUGGGGGAUAACGUAGGGAAACUUACGCUAAUACCGCAUACGACCUACGGGUGAAAGCAUGGGAUCUUCGGACCUUGCGCGAUUGAAUGAGCCGAUGUCGGAUUAGCUAGUUGGCGGGGUAAAGGCCCACCAAGGCGACGAUCCGUAGCUGGUCUGAGAGGAUGAUCAGCCACACUGGAACUGAGACACGGUCCAGACUCCUACGGGAGGCAGCAGUGGGGAAUAUUGGACAAUGGGCGCAAGCCUGAUCCAGCCAUACCGCGUGGGUGAAGAAGGCCUUCGGGUUGUAAAGCCCUUUUGUUGGGAAAGAAAAGCAGCAGGUUAAUACCCCGCUGUUCUGACGGUACCAAAAGAAUAAGCACCGGCUAACUUCGUG